CCAUUACAACACACAUAUAAAAUUAUCAACACUUUUGAAAUUAUGAUACCACUUACUUUGACCCUGAUACAGGGAGCAACUGUCUUACCUCUUUUAUUUUUAUAAAUUUGUCAGCACUUUAUCUGGAAUAGAAGUGUAAUGCAUCUUUUUUAGUUCAUAGAUAAGAAACCUCUCUCUUUAUACAGCAAUGAAGAUGGGCAACGGUACAGUAUAAUUCUAAUACAAAUGGUAUAAUAAAAUCCCACUUCAAGGAGAAUUAAGUGAAAAAUAGAAAGUAAGUCUGCCAAACGUAUUUUGAUAACAGGAGCAAGAAUACUUGACAUUAGAUUGUUAUAUGUUAAGAUAAGCAGCUACUACCUCAUUUGAACAUUACCAGUGCUUCUUUAUACAUCAAAGGUCUGUUGCCAGUUUCCAGAACAUAAAUUAUAAUGGAACUGUUCUGUAAUGGCAUCACCAGUACUGUGUGAAUAUAGCACAAGUAUGGUAUAAAUGUGAUACCUGAUAACGUUCUUCAAGCCACCAAAUAAUCACAAGUCAUGUCUUUGUUUUAAACUGAGAAACAAUCAGAGUUUAACCAAAUGAUCACAGCUCUGCUCUCCAGUGACUAGCCUAAUGCUUUAGACAAUAUUUUGGGUUGUCCAAGGCUAUUUUUUCUCUACUCCUCGGUAACUGGCCAAAACAGUCCACUUCACUGUUCAGCCUCUGUUUGUUAGGUGCCCAGUUAGCUUUCAAAAACCUCUAGAAAUCCUGAGUCUGGAAAUUUCGGUGAUUAAACUCUUGCCUGAGCUACUUUAUGAUCUAAAUGCGUCCAAAGGAAUCUAAAUGCCACCUAAUUCCAGGUCAGAAGAUAAAUUCUCUUUCUCUCUCAAAAAUAAAAAAACCCCCCAUUUUUUCCAGGAAUAUCUACUCCUGAAUAGAGCCUAAUCAUGAAGUUGAAGCCGCAGAAGUGGCUGCCUGCAGAAGUGUUGAGGAGCUCAGACAGACCUCUUCUCCUGUGGCAUCUCUGGGCAGCUGCCUUUGCAGCAUGCAGUCUUUGGAGAUCAGCUCUCUUCCCUCCACUGAAUUCACAGGAAUCUCACACAGCACCCAGCUGGGUGGGCUCUUGUCUCUUUGUCAGUGCUGGGUGCCUCCAGUCACAGUGCUCCACAGUAGGAGCUUGCCCCUUGAUAACCUACAGGACAAUGUGUGAGUUUUCUUUGGUGAUGUCUUAUUGUCAUUCUUCUUCCUCCAGCUACGUUUAUUGCCAAUUAGAAAAAUAGUAUAAAAUAAAAUGCACAGACACAGAGUCUAUAUCCACACCUUCUGGGGAGUGCACUGGUGAGAGACCUUGGGACUGCUGUCAAACAUGGAGCUGGCUGGUGACUCCCCUGCCUUAGGGUAAUGCUGUCUGCCCUAGCCUAAUCCAGGUGUCUGCCGGCACCCUGUGACUUUGGGACAUUACUCUCCACAGAAUUCUGUGGACUUCUGGUGUAAAGUGACUUCUCAGUGUAAAGCAGGUCCGAGCCUACAGCAGAGGGGUUCUCUAGCAUGAUUCUGACAAUGAGUGUUGUGUGACAUGGGAGGGUGCAUGAUGGCAUGUGGAUGCUAGGUUGUACAAGGACUUGUGGGAGAGUUUACAGGAUUGCUCAAUGCAGAAUUAGCCACGGCCAGGUGGCUUAUUUGUCAUGCAUCCUUCAGCAAACUGGCCUAUCAACUGCACUAAGAUUUCCCUCCACAGGAAAACAAGUAACUUACUGGAGAAGGGGUUUGGGUGUGAACUAGCAUGGAUACAGCAAAGACGUGAGGGUGACCACGUUACAGGAAUAAAAGUAGACUAACAGUGUCUGGUGUCACAGCCUUCAUUGCAGACUUAAACACAGCUCCUACACUCUUAAUAUCCAACCCAUCUAUCCUAACAAGCUCUUGUCUGAGUCUGAUGGUGGUUUCAAGCCAGGCUGCCAACCCUAUCACAGUGUUUGGCUAGCAGCACUUCGCAGUACCUUCCCUUCAGCUGAUACUUCUCCAGGUCUGCAGUUAGGCAUGAUGACAGGGAAUACCAUCCUCUGAAUCCUGAUGUUCUUCUAACACUUCAUCACAGUUAUCCCCUGGGCUGCAGAAAACCAAAGUGUUAUCCCAGCAUUCAGUGGAAAAAAGUCACAGCCAAACUUACUAGAACUGAAUGGGGUAAGGGAUGGCAAAGGCAACAGAAGGGCUACUAUAAGAACAUAGGUGACAAGAGGAAGGCUAGCCAAAAUGUGGGCCCACUGCUCAAGGAGACUGGGGACCUGGUUAUGCAGGACAUGAGGUACUUCAUGUCUUCUUUGCCUCAGUCUUUACUAGCAAAACCAGCCUCCAAGAAUCAGAGACCGGGGGAAAGGUUGGAGCAAGAAAAAUGUACCCUUGGUGGAAGAGGAUCAGGUCUUGGAGCACUUAAACACACCAGACAUGCAUAAGUCCGUGGGGCCGGAUGAGAUACGCCCUCAAGUGCUGAGGAAGCCAGCAGCUGUCUCUGUGAAUUGUGAGUCCACUCGCAAUGAUCUUAGAUCAAUCAUGGCAAUUGGAAGAACUUCCCAAAGGCUGGAGAAAAGCAAGUAUCACUCCAACCUCCAAGAAGGGAAGAAGGACUCAAGCAACUAGAGACUGCUCAAACUCACCAUGAUCCCUUGGAAGGUGAUGGAACCAUCCUGAAAAUAAUUUCCUAGCACCUGAAGGACAAGAAAGUUAUCAAAGGGUAGUCAGCAUGACUUCAUCUAAGGAAAGUCAUAUUUGACCAACUUGAUAACCUUGUAUGCUGAAAUGACUGUCAGGAUAUAUGAGAGGAGAGCAGUGGGUAUUUUAUACCUGGGCUUCAGUAAGGCUUUUGAUACUGUUGAAUUAUGGGUUGGAUGACCAAACAGUGAGGUGGAUUCAAAACUGGCUGAAAUUGCUGGGCCCAGAGGGUGGUGGUCAGUCUCAUGAAGUCUAGUUGGAGGCUUCUCACUAGUAGCAUACCUCAGAGAUCCAAUCCUGUUUAACAUCUCCAUUAAUGAUCUGGAUGACAGGGCAGAGAGCAUCCUUAGCAAAUUUGUAGAUGACACAAAACUGGGAAGAUUGACUGGUAUGUCAGGGUCGUGCUGCCAUCCAGAGGGACCUUGAGAGGCUGAAGAAAUGAGCUGCCAAAAACCUCAUGAAGUUCAACAAAGGGAAGUGAAAAGUUCUACACCUGAGGAGGGAAAUAUCCCAGGUGCCAGGGCAUGCUGGGGGUUGCCCAGCUGGAGAGAAAGUAUUGCUUUCCAGAGGGUCAAGGGAAGUGAUCAUUCUCCUCAGCACUUGUGGCAUUGUCCUCAGCACAAGGGGAUUGCUGUGUCCAGCUCUGGGCUCUCCAGUACAAGAGGACACAGACAUUUUGGAGGCAUUCCAAUGAAUGUCCAUGAAGAUUGUUAAGGGGCUGGAGCACCUCUCGUGUGAGGACAGGCUGAGGGAGUUGGGACUGUCCAGCCUGGAGAAGAGAAGGCUCAGGGGGAUCUUAUCAAUGUAUAAAAAUACCUGAAUGGAAGGUGCAAAGAGGACAGAGACAGGCUCUUUUCAGUGGUGACAAGGCAAGUGGUAAGGGGCACAACCUGAAACUCAGGAGGCUCCUUUUAUAUAUUAAAAAAUACUUUACUGUGAGGAUGAUCAAGCACAUGCACAGGUUGUCCAGAGAGUUUGUGGAGUCUCUGUCCUUGGAGACAUGUCAGUUGUCCAGGCAUGGUCCUGGGCAACUGGCUCUAGGUAUGCCUGCUUGAGGAGGAGUGUUGGACCAGCUUCUGGGGGUCCCUUAGAACCAUUAACACUUUGUGACUGUGAAGCUCCUUAAAGAACCACGUUCCCCCAUAAGUCCUAAUGGUUUGAGGAGCCCCAAGCCAGUGAAGAUGACAUGUCACAAGUGCAGCACAGUUAUGCACAUGCUGGGUCAGCUCAUCAGCUACAUUGGUUGGAAAGGGGAACCUGUAAGAGAGCCUUGGACCUUCAAAUGAGGGCAAACCUCACAGCCAAGGCAGGCUGAUGUUUGUCACAGCAAAGACAAAAAGUAGUGUUUUUGAGGACUAUUAGCAGAGUUAAUGUUUACAGUAGCAUGCUUUUUCAUAAAGAAAGGGGUCAAAUUAAGAGCAUGGGCUACUGUAUUUUCUUUGUUUAGCAGCUGGGGAUCAAAACACGUUCUUACCAUGUAAAUGAGGGGUGAAAUAACAGACCCUUUUACACUCUUUUUUGAACAGACAGGAUUACAGCAUAGAUUGUGUUGUGAAACAAAGAAUAGCUCCACAGGACCCAUGACUCUUUCUAUGAAUCAUUCUGUCCCCCCCCUCCCCUUCCCAUAUAUCCUUUUUUUUCUGUAAUUUUGUUAAGGGUAAAUAUCUUCUAGAUGGGAAUGCCAUGUUAACUGAAUGGCUAGACUUAAAAAUGGCUAAAGUUGGCCAUUUACUAGCUCCAAUUUUAUUUAAUAAGUAGCAACUGAAAACAGUUAUUUGCCUUCCUACUUGGAGACAGAAAAUACCCUUAAACCAUAGGCAUACGCAUUGUCAAAAUUAUAAACAUAUCCUUCCCCUAAAGUGGCAAAUAGAAAUAAAAGUCAUAAUACACCUCCAAUAUCAGGAGAGAAAUUAGGGUGGAGGGCCUGGAGAGAUGGGAUAUAUGUUUUUCUACAUAAUGUUAUGUCAACAACAGCCUUGUGUGAAGAGAAAUUAUAUAUGGAGCCAUGGUGAAAUUUACAAGAACUUCUGUGGAGAACCUGAAAUGCAUAACAGAACAAAAAAAAGAUUUGGAGUUUACGUCACACUUAGAAAUCAGAGGAAACAAGCUAAUGCAGCUAAUUCAUGCUAAUACUGGCAGAGAAAGGAUUGCAGGUGUAUCUAAGGACUGCUUGGAGGGCAUUAAUGGACAUUGUUUCUCUCUAACUUUCAAUGGGCGGUUUAUCAAAUACUCCCUGACAUGCUUUGGGGUGAAUGCUUCUUUUUGUGCAUCUGAGGUGCUCAGUUCAUAUUCCCAAGGGCCAGUUUUGCUCCUUGGAGCAAAACAGGUGCAGUUAUGAGUCUGCCCUGACUGGACUAGCUUCUUUGGUCUUUGCCUAACAUCCAGUGAUUUACAAAAUCAUCUUUUUCCUGACCUUCUCUCCCAGGAACAGGGACACAGCAGAUAGCACAGAAAGAUAGCUUCAAGAAAGAAAAAUGCUAUUUAGCUGUUGUAGCCUGCUCUUUCUCUCCUGAAAUGCUAAGUGGCUGGUCACAAUCUGGCCCAAAGCACAUUCACUGGCAGUAAUACUGUCAGAUAUUAUGUAUCACAUAUUACUUUGAAGAAAUUUCUUGGACUCAGUAAUUAUUUCACUAGUGUUUUGUUUCAAGUCUUAAAAAAUGCCUAAGUGAAGGAAUUUGAUUUUUCAUGCAUAUAAGUAAUUUUAGGAAGCUGUGGCACUUUUGUACAGAAGAUGAUGCUUUGGGAGCUUUUUGCAGGAUGAAUACCUGCUAUAAAUAUUAUUUCUGUGUUUGAGCUUAUUAAAAUGUGAAAUGGUAACCCUUGAAUGCAUACAUAUAUCCCAAGUAUUUUUCUGGGAAUUGUUUUUUCAUAUUAUUCUUCCUGACUUAUUGAAUCAGAGAAUCCUUUAGGUUGGAAAAGAUAUUAAAGAUAUUCAAGAUCAUCAAGUCCAACUGUUAACCCAGAACUGCCAAGUCCACAAUUAAAAAACCUGGCACCAUGUCCCCAGGUGCCACAUUUACACAUCUUUUCAACACCUCCAGGGGUGGGGACUCCACCACUUCCCUGAGCAGCCUGUUCAAAUGCCUGAUCAACCUUUCAGUGAAGAUGAUUUUCCUAAUAUCCAAUCUAAACCUCCACUGGAAGAACUUGAGGCCAUUUCCUCUUAUCCUAUUGCUUGUUUCUUGGGAGAAGAGAGCAACAUCCAGCUCACUGCUGCUUCCUUUCAGGUACUUGCAGAGAGUGAUAAGGUUCCCCCUGAACCUCCUUUUCUCCAGGCUAAAUACUCCCAGCUGCCUCAGCCACUCCUCAUAGCAUUUGUGCUCCAAUCCCUCCACCAUCUCCAGUGCCCUUCUCUGGACACACUCCAGCACCUCAAUGUCUUUGAGAUGCUGUUGACUUGCAAAUCAACAAUAAACAGGGGCAGAUUCUUAUGGACAAGGAAAAUGAAAACAGAAAAAGGGGAAGAAGGAAGGAGAGGAGAGGUGAGGAGAAGAGAAGGAAAUGGAGGAGGAAAAGAGAUCUAACACAUUGAUCAGUGAAUGCAAGCCUUAAAAGAACCUGAGGACUGGUCACAGGGAAAACACAAAGCAGGUACAGCUUUAUGUAGGAGAUCCAGUCACAAACAAGACACUCAACUCAUCAAAAGACAUUUCUACAUUUCUAUGUGCUUACAUUUCUGAAGUACCAUCUGCAGAAGAAAACAAGGUUUUCCUUUUAGUAAGUACACAGCACAUCAAGGCUGAACAAUUCGUUAAUGUGAACAUUUGAGAGAAGAGCGAUUACAGCAAUAAAGGUUCUGACACAUCAAUUAAAGUAGUUGGGUUAGACUAAAAGAAUAUUGUAAAACACCCAUGUGCCCAACUUUGUAGACAAAAUCCAUACGACUGGGGGGGUGACGGGGGUGGCUUUGUGAUCACGUAACCAAGGAUUGUGAAAGUGGGAGCACACCUGGGUUAGCAUGGGUUUUGUUGCUGGUUUUGUGAAUGCAGGUUUAGCUGCACACACAGCCCCAGGAAGCCCAUGGUCCCGGGGAGACCGGGGACAGAAGCUUUGCUCUUACACAGGCUUUAACAGUUUUGCUAAGAAAAUCCAGUGAGGGUUUUUGGACAGAAAAAUUGCAGGAUUUAGCUGGAAUGUGAGGAAUCUUUGGGUCCCUAGUUAAUUAUGAUCUGCUUUGUUACAGUAACAGAAAUAGUGCUAGAGAAAAGGAGACAGUUCUUGUCUUGAAUAGUAUGCGCUGCUAUUAUUGUUUUAUUUGUAUUCUUCCUCCUUAAAAGUAGCUGCUGUUUACGAAGUAUUCACAGUGAAUCCAAACAGUAGGAUGGAGACCAAGAUUGACUAAGUGAAACCUGCCCUAAGUGUGCACCCAAGAGAUCAACUGAAAUCAAUUUGUCCUGCAAAGAUGCCUCCUGCUUCAUAAAGCUCUUCACAGCCUUGGACCUCCCCAGGAAGCCUGCAUACCUGUUUUCUUAAUUGACUUUGGUUACUACCAGAACUGUUAAUUAUUAGUCAGCUUUUCGGAUGGGGAACCAGCUGUGUUGUUUAUCUGGCCGAUGUUCUGGUCUCCGUGCCUGCUGAUCCUUGACAUGGUGCCAGCCCAUGUGUUGAGAAUUACAUGGCAGGAACAAAUUCUCUUCUUCUCUAGCCAUGUUGGCUGUCCAGGUCCCUGUCUGCCACAAGGAUGAAGAAUGUCAGGUUCCAGAUCCAAAAAUCCUUCCUGCUCCCUCCUCUGUGCUACAGCCCACGCUGGCCUAGUUUUGAAUCAUGCUGGAAAAUGGAUAAAAGCAGCUAAAAUUUCCUUCCUGUGUAAAGUCUGAAGUGAGUCACGGAGGUGAACAUCUCUUCCUACUAGCAGCCCAAGCCUACAUUGACCUGGAAGAGCAUUUAUAUGAGCAUGAACCAAGACAGAAGGAAGGGUAGGUAGAGGCUCCCUCUGAGCAGGAGAAAUGGUGCACCUGACAGAGCUGAAGGCAGCUGGACUCCAAACAUGCCUAAAAGUCUUCCUGAACUACAGCCUUACAGCUGCCAUCUCAAAUUGCUCUCAAAACAAGAUCUCACAUCCCAUGUUUGUGACAACUCUCCACACCAAAACAACCUGAGUUUAAGACUACUCCAUGCUGGAAACAGAUGUACCUUUGAGGCUAAUGUAAUGGACUCUGUGUUUCUGCCUUUCAUGUAAUCUUUUAUUUUUUAAAAUGUAGAAGCGCUACACCACAUGUGUGUGAAAUGAGACUGUGUGUCAAUGAAAGGCAUAAAAAAUUAUUCCAGAAAAAGGCUCUGACUGGAAUAACAACGGAGAAGCCAAGGGGCUCAUGGUUCUAUAACACGUUCAUUCAGAAAAUCACAGGGCAGUGUGACAGCUGGAGUGAGGAAAGACUAGUGGCAAUAUUUUUUUAAGA